AUUGAACGCUGGCGGCAGGCCUAACACAUGCAAGUCGAGCGAGCGGCGGACGGGUGAGUAAUGUCUGGGAAACUGCCGGAUGGAGGGGGAUAACUACUGGAAACGGUAGCUAAUACCGCAUACCAUCAGAUGUGCCCAGAUGGGAUUAGCUAGAAGGUGGGGGAACGGCUCACCUAGGCGACGAUCCCUAGCAGGUCUGAGAGGAAGACCAGCCACACUGAGACUGAGACACGGUCCAGACUCCUACGGGAGGCAGCAGUGGGGAAUAUUGCGCAAUGGACGCAAGCCUGAUGCAGCCAUGCCGCGUGUGUGAAGAAGGCCUUCGGAUUGUAAAGCACUUUCAGCGGGGAGGCGUUACCCACAGAAGAAGCACCGGCUAACUCCGUGCCAGCAGCCGCGGUAAUAC
rnacentral:rRNA from 1 species